CGCGCAGGCGGGUGGGGAAGUCGGGGGUGAAAUUCCGGGGCUCAACCCUGGAACGACUUUCGAAACUCCUCAUCUAGGGACCGGUAGAGGCCGGUGGAAUUCCCGGAGUAGCGGUGGAAUGCGUAGAGAUCGGGAAGAACACCAGUGGCGAAGGCGGCCGGCUGGGCCGGAUCCGACGCUGAGGCGCGAAAGCGUGGGGAGCAAACA
rnacentral:rRNA from 1 species